GGUUCAUUCGAUUCAAAUUUUUCUGAAAGCCCUUUGACCAGUUUAUUGAAUCCGAGAUCUUGGCCAAUAUAUGAGGAAUCUGGGCAGUCUCCCUUAUAUCUGGCGUCUUUCUGUUGAGCACUUGAACUUCAACGCCUUCAUCUCCACACUCUUUCAACGCCUUCCUCAAUCUCUCUUCUUCCCUCUAAGAGAAACCCUAAACGUUGCCUUCAACUAGAUUUAAAUACUUCUUAUCAAUGUCGUCGCACUACCUUUUACCACCACUAUCACCGCGAGAAUAUCUUCCAACCACACACCCACCUGAUCGAUCGAGUCUUCUUGAUUGAGUUUAAUCCUGCUAUCUCGGCAAAAAUCAGUCGAUUGUGGACCAUCAUCCCAGGCGUUGAUUAAGUUGGUUCUCUCAAACAUACUUGAUCUAGGAAAUUAAUGGCUAAAUGACCUCAUUUAAUCAGGUGGAACAAUUCAAUCUAAAGAGUUAAGUUAUAUCUUUCUUCAAUAUCAAAACAGGUAAGUAUCAACUCCAGGUAUGUUUUUAUUAAAACCAAAGUGGCUCUCCCCUCGAUAUGCAGCUGUUUCUCAGGGUUUACUUCGACAGAGUCAAUUGUUGUCGUUCACCGUCACCAUCUCUCCUUAUAUGUCCAUGUUCUCUUAUCAUUUGACCUUGAUUGCAAUUUUUGAAGCUCUAACCUCGGGCCCAUCUCCUUAUAUGGUUCCAAUACGGCUCUGCUGGCCACUUUCAUUAUCAAAUCUUUCAAUAGUAACCAUGAAAAGCUACUUCAAACAAAAGUAACAAACAAAUAAGGAUUGUGAGUGUCAUUAUUUAAGCUUCUGUUUCUUUAUCCUCAAGGUAUUUGCAUUGAUAUGAACAAUCAAUCUGGGUAUGGGUGUAAUUUGAGGCUUUUCUUUACUUAAAUUCUGUUUUUCUUAACUUUACUUUAUUGCAUCAUAAAUGUUUAGGUGUUGAUGUACUUAGUUUAUGACAUCAGAAUUAUGCAGGUGUUGUGGUGCUUACAAAACGUCCAUUACUCCUAUUUCAGUCAGACGCUAGCUUCAAGUGGGUAUUUCAUAUUUAUUUAAAAGAUAAAAUGAAAUGGGUAGCUUUUUUUCUGUGAUUAUUUUAUUCUCUUAUAUCGGCUUUAAAAUGAUUUUAAUGAUUUUGAAUAGGCAUCGACAAGUUGGUAAUGAUUGGAAGAUCUUGAACUGCUAAAAGUGUUUUCUAUAUGUACUUAAGGGACCCCUCAAUUAAUUUGAGUUCAUGUCUUGCUCGACUUUUGUUGUAAAUUAGGUUAAUAUACUUCUAAUGGAAUUCAAGGGCUUACUGGUAAACUUCACUUUUUGCAAGUCUAAUUAGUAUUAGUAAUGAAAUGAUUUUUGUAGAAAAUCAUGUAUCAUUGUCAGGUUUACUUUUUGCAUGUCUGAUAAACUUCAUUUCCAAUUAACUACUUAGUUUUUCUAACAUUGAAAUAUGUUUCUUUAAAUCUAAUAAAAGUAGGAUUGAAUUUUGAGUUAAGUA